UACAUGGGGUGCAAACGUUGCUCGGAAUCAUUGGGCGUAAAGCGCGCGUAGGCGGUUACUUAAGUUGGAUGUGAAAGCCCUCGGCUUAACUGAGGAAGUGCAUCCAAAACUGAGUAGCUAGAGUACGAAAGAGGGUCGCGGAAUUCCCGGUGUAGAGGUGAAAUGCGCAGAUAUCAGGAGGAACACCGGUGGCGAAGGCGGGUCUCUGGGCCGAAAUUGACGCUGAGGAGCGAAAGCGUGGGGAGCAAACAGG
rnacentral:rRNA from 1 species